rnacentral:lncRNA from 1 species
CACUAGCAAUGGCAGUAUUCAUCAUACACUGAGUACUCGACUGUGCCUGAAACUAUGCUGUGUAUAUCUAUAAAUUGUCGCAUUGAAAACUCAGAACAAGCCUAUAAGGGUAAUUCUUCACCACCGCUCUUCCUGAUGCCACUCCCAUCAUAGGAAGGGACCCGAAGUCACCAGGCAGUAAGUACAUCAGUGUUCAAACUAAAUAUCCGACGACAAGUACAGCAACCCAGUGUGCCUUGACUGCCCAUGGCAGGACAUCACCCAGUCAUUUACUUGACGCCAGCAACUGAAAACCUUCAGAGAAGACUAAGCCAUCUUCCAAGGCAGGCAGUGGAACAAACCUCAGGGCAGCUGAGAAUGCCUCUUCCUGCUAUUUCUCUGGUGGCUCCGGAACAGGUCCCGUGAUACUGUGUGUCAUGCUCUUACAUGCUUCUUUUAUGCCCCAAGACUUGCCCUCGUUGAUCCCAGUCUUCAGAACACACCAAACAUGGGUCACUCUCCAGCUCAAAAUCAGUUAUCUUUCACAUUGUUACCCAGUGGCCUAAUUGUAAAUGCACCCCUCACAAUUCCACCCAAAUAUCUGAUCUCAGAGAAUCCAGAGACCUUGCGUGGACGAAACGACUUGGCCAAGAUCACCAAGUAAUACCAUUAACAAUAAAACUAAAGCCUGAGGCAUCUUCUUGAUUAACCAUUGAUGUGCAGGGAGCUCGGCCCACCGUGGGUAGUGCCAACACUGGGUGCUUAUGCUUUGUAUAAAAGGCUGGUUGAACAAGCCAUGGGGAGUGAGCCACACUAAGCAGCACUCCUCCAUGGCCUUUGCUUCAGUUCCUGCCUCCAGGGUCCUGCUCAACUUCCUGCUGUGACUUCCUUCAUAAUUGACUAUAAACUAUAAACCGAAAAAAGAAAAUCCUUCCCCAAAUGACUUUGCUCAUGUUGUCACAGCAAUAGACACAAAACUAUGACAUGGGGUCUUGGGCCACACAGCAGAGUCACUGUAAUGAGAAUUCUAAUGCCAACCCUUUGCAUGCUGGCUAUUUUACUGUGUUCCUUCACCGCUCCCUGAAUUGAGCCUCCACACAAAGCUGCAAGAUCAAUUAGAGAACACAUAAAAUGAACUACUUAAUUUAUGUUUCUCAGAGGGAUAUAAAACAUUUGGCUCACAGGCUUUUAAGACGGGUCACAGAACAUAAAACUAUAUUUAAUAAGUACAAUGUACUAAAAAUAUCCUUUAGUGAGACAGACUGAUGCGAUUAAAGGGCACUGGCUUCAGGAGAAAUGGGGAAGUCAGAUGCUGAACCCUCUCAGCCCCUCAACCAUGCAGGCUUAACCGGACAACUGUCCUGUCCUCUGUAUAAUGAGGUUUGUAACUUCAACAUCCUGCCUUCUUUUUCCAACUGAUGGCCAAUUUCGUCUCCCCAGGCAGAGAAAGAUUCCACAGAUAAUCUGAGAUCUAAUGCUAUACCCUCAACAUACAUAACAAGCAAGCCACCAUUUAUUCGUCCUAAGCCUAGGAGUGAAAAAUAAGAGCCAUAGCUGUAUAUGUUUUUGUGAAACUGGGGAUGCCAGAUUCCAAGAUCCACAUCUCAGAUGCAGGUUAAUGACAAAUGAGGCUACAUGUUGACACUUACGCGCUUCGCUGUGCAAAUGAGAUUUCCACAGCGUCAUAACUUACAAGGGA